GAGCUAGGAAAGAGAUACACAAUACAUUUACCCUCCAUCGACAAUGACGGUGAUGUAGUGCGUUGUCUCCGGGCUCGUUAUAUCGAGGCUUUAGGCUUUGGACGGCUUUUAAUCGAUUUAGAAACAAGGAAAUUCUUAGCUAUUGAUCGAAUGAAAUGUGUCAUGGAAAUUGAAGCAGACCCAGGAUAUUUCAAGGAAGGCGAUACGUUUGGAGUACCAGUAACUGUGAAAGACUACAGCAAAACGAUCAUGUCAACGCAAAGCAAAACAUUUCUGCCGUACAUUAACGUCAUUGGAAGAGUUGUAACUUUAAUGUUUUUUUAAAAUAACUGGGAGGACAGACCCACCUGAGUUUAUUCCACCGACUCCUAUGAACAACAUGCAGUAUACGAUUUACGUGGGUGGGGAUUUUAAUGUAAAGGUGUAUGCAAAAGCCUCGAUUGGCAGAAAAGUGGCAAGAUUUGAUAUUCUAAGAGUAGAUGGGAAACUAGCUCACCAU